rnacentral:rRNA from 1 species
CAGCAGCCGCGGUAAUACAGAGGGUGCGAGCGUUAAUCGGAUUUACUGGGCGUAAAGCGUGCGUAGGCGGCUUCUUAAGUCGGAUGUGAAAUCCCUGAGCUUAACUUAGGAAUUGCAUUCGAUACUGGGAAGCUAGAGUAUGGGAGAGGAUGGCAGAAUUCCAGGUGUAGCGGUGAAAUGCGUAGAGAUCUGGAGGAAUACCGAUGGCGAAGGCAGCCAUCUGGCCUAAUACUGACGCUGAGGUACGAAAGCAUGGGGAGCAAACAGGAUUAGAUACCCCGGUAGUCCCUGUCUCUUAUAC